rnacentral:rRNA from 1 species
GUAGGUGGCAAGCGUUGUCCGGAAUUAUUGGGCGUAAAGCGCGCGCAGGCGGUCCUUUAAGUCUGAUGUGAAAGCCCACGGCUCAACCGUGGAGGGUCAUUGGAAACUGGGGGACUUGAGUACAGAAGAGGAAAGCGGAAUUCCAAGUGUAGCGGUGAAAUGCGUAGAGAUUUGGAGGAACACCAGUGGCGAAGGCGGCUUUCUGGUCUGUAACUGACGCUGAGGCGCGAAAGCGUGGGGAGCAAACAGGGAUUAGAUACCCUGGUAGUCCACGCCGUAAACGAUGAGUGCUAAGUGUUAGGGGGUUUCCCGCCCCUUAGUGCUGCAGCUAACGCAUUAAGCACUCCGCCUGGGGAAUACGGCCGCAAGGCUG